UAGGGAAUCUUCGGCAAUGGACGAAAGUCUGACCGAGCAACGCCGCGUGAGUGAAGAAGGUUUUCGGAUCGUAAAACUCUGUUGUUAGAGAAGAACAAGGACGUUAGUAACUGAACGUCCCCUGACGGUAUCUAACCAGAAAGCGACGGCUAACUACGUGCCAGCAGCCGCGGUAAUACGUAGGUGGCAAGCGUUGUCCGGAUUUCUUGGGCGUAAAGCGCGCGUAAGCGGUUUCUUAAGUCUGCUGUGAAAGCCCCCGGCUCAACCGGGGAGGGGCAUUGGAAACUGGGAGACUUGAGUGCAGAAGAGGAGAGUGGAAUUCCAUGUGUAGCGGUGAAAUGCGUAGAUAUAUGGAGGAACACCAGUGGCGAAGGCGGCACUCUGGUCUGUGACUGAAGCUGAGGCUCGAAAGCGUGGGGAGCAAACAGG
rnacentral:rRNA from 1 species